UACGUAGGCAGCAAGCGUUGUUCGGAGUUACUGGGCGUAAAGGGUGUGUAGGCGGUUCUUAAGUUUGGUGUGAAAUCUCCCGGCUCAACCGGGAGGGUGCGCCGAAAACUGAAGGGCUAGAGUGCGGGAGAGGAGAGUGGAAUUCCUGGUGUAGCGGUGAAAUGCGUAGAUAUCAGGAGGAACACCGGUGGUGUAAACGGCUCUCUGGACCGUAACUGACGCUGAGACACGAAAGCGUGGGUAGCAAACAGG
rnacentral:rRNA from 1 species